rnacentral:rRNA from 1 species
AUUGAACGCUGGCGGCAUGCCUUACACAUGCAAGUCGAACGGCAGCACGGGAGCAAUCCUGGUGGCGAGUGGCGAACGGGUGAGUAAUAUAUCGGAACGUGCCCGGUCGUGGGGAUAACGUAGCGAAAGCUACGCUAAUACCGCAUACGAUCUACGGAUGAAAGCGGGGGAUCGCAAGACCUCGCGCGAUUGGAGCGGCCGAUAUCAGAUUAGGUAGUUGGUGAGGUAAAGGCUCACCAAGCCGACGAUCUGUAGCUGGUCUGAGAGGACGACCAGCCACACUGGGACUGAGACACGGCCCAGACUCCUACGGGAGGCAGCAGUGAGGAAUAUUGGACAAUGGGCGCAAGCCUGAUCCAGCCAUGCCGCGUGCAGG